rnacentral:rRNA from 1 species
AGAGCGAACGCUGGCGGCAUGCUUAACACAUGCAAGUCGCACGGGCACUUCGGUGUCAGCGGCAGACGGGUGAGUAACGCGUGGGAACAUACCUUUUGGUUCGGAACAACACGGGGAAACUUGUGCUAAUACCGGAUAAGCCCUUACGGGGAAAGAUUUAUCGCCGAAAGAUUGGCCCGCGUCUGAUUAGCUAGUUGGUGAGGUAAUGGCUCACCAAGGCGACGAUCAGUAGCUGGUCUGAGAGGAUGAUCAGCCACAUUGGGACUGAGACACGGCCCAAACUCCUACGGGAGGCAGCAGUGGGGAAUAUUGGACAAUGGGCGCAAGCCUGAUCCAGCCAUGCCGCGUGAGUGAUGAAGGCCCUAGGGUUGUAAAGCUCUUUUGUGCGGGAAGAUAAUGACGGUACCGCAAGAAUAAGCCCCGGCUAACUUCGUGCCAGCAGCCGC